rnacentral:rRNA from 1 species
AUCGAUCUUGGCGAGGUUUAUAGCAAAGAAACUUGAAAUUUUUUUGCUAUAGCAAAACAAAUAUAAUCACUUUAGUUAUCGAUCUGAAAUCAGGUGGG